GUGAAGAACGUAGCGAAAUGCGAUACGUAAUGUGAAUUGCAGAAUUCAGUGAAUCAUCGAAUCUUUGAACGCAUAUUGCGCUCUUUGGUAUUCCGAAGAGCAUGCUUGUUUGAGUAUCAGUAAACACCUCAACCUCUUCUUGAUUUUUCAAAAGGAGGGUGGACUUGAGCUAUCCCAACAACCUUUACCGGUCGGCGGGCGGCUUGAAAUGCAGGUGCAGCUGGACUUUUAUCUGAGCUAAAAGCAUAUCUAUUUAGUCCUCGUCAAACAGGAUUAUUACUUUUGCUGCAGCUAACAUAAAGGAUAAUUGUUCUCUUUGCUGACUGAUGCAGGAUUUUACGACACUUUAUGUGUUGUUCAACUCGAUCUCAAAUCAAGUAAGACUACCCGCUGAACUUAAGCAUAUCAAUAAGCGGAGGA
rnacentral:misc_RNA from 1 species